GAUGAACGCUGGCGGCGUGCCUAAUACAUGCAAGUCGAGCGAACGGACGAGAAGCUUGCUUCUCUGAUGUUAGCGGCGGACGGGUGAGUAACACGUGGCUAACCUACCUAUAAGACUGGGAUAACUUCGGGAAACCGGAGCUCACACCGGAUAAUAUUUUGAACCGCAUGGUUCAAAAGUGAAAGACGGUCUUGCUGUCACUUAUAGAUGGAUCCACGCUGCAUUAGCUAGUUGGUAAGGUAACGGCUUACCAAGGCAACGAUGCAUAGCCGACCUGAGAGGGUGAUCGGCCACACUGGAACUGAGACACGGUCCAGACUCCUACGGGAGGCAGCAGUAGGGAAUCUUCCGCAAUGGGCGAAAGCCUGACGGAGCAACGCCGCGUGAGUGAUGAAGGUCUUCGGAUCGUAAAACUCUGUUAUUAGGGAAGAACAUAUGUGUAAGUAACUGUGCACAUCUUGACGGUACCUAAUCAGAAAGCCACGGCUAACUACGUG
rnacentral:rRNA from 1 species